GUUUAUUAAGUUGGGGGUGAAAUCUCCGGGCUCAACCCGGAGCUCGUUCUCAAAACUGGUAGACUUGAGUAAGGUAGAGGCUGACGGAAUUCUGCAAGUAGGGGUAAAAUCCGUUGAUCUGCAGAGGAACACCAAAAGCGAAGGCAGUCAGCUGGGCCUUUACUGACGCUGAGGGACGAAAGCGUGGGUAGCGAACGGGAUUAGAUACCCCGGUAGUCCACGCCGUAAAUGAUGGAUACUGGACAUUGGUACUCGAUCGUAUCAGUGUCUCAAGCUAACGCAUUAAGUAUCCCGCCUGGGGAGUACGGUCGCAAGAUUAAAACUCAAAGGAAUAGACGGGGACCCACACAAGCGGUGGAGCAUGUGGUUUAAUUCGACAAUAAGCGAGGAACCUUACCAGGGCUUGACAUCCCGAGAAUUCUUUAGAAAUAGAGAAGUGCCUUUAUGGAACUCGGUGACAGGUGCUGCAUGGUUGUCGUCAGCUCGUGCCUUGAGGUGUUCGGUUAAGUCCGUAAACGAGCGCAACCCUAGUCCUAUGUUGUAUAUUUCAUAGGAGACUGCCUUGUCCAACGAGGAGGAAGGUUAGGAUGACGUCAAAUCAGCAUGGCCCUUAUGUCUUGGGCGACACACGUGCUACAAUGGUCGGUACAAUGGGUAGCCAACCCGCGAGGGGGAGCCAAUCCCAUCAAAGCCGGUCCAAGUUCGGAUUGGAGGCUGCAACUCGCCUCCAUGAAGUUGGA
rnacentral:rRNA from 1 species